rnacentral:rRNA from 1 species
UUGGAGGGCAAGUCUGGUGCCAGCAGCCGCGGUAAUUCCAGCUCCAAUAGCGUAUAUUAAAGUUGCUGCAGUUAAAAAGCUCGUAGUUGAAUUUCGGGACCAUCAUGUCGGUCGUGCCUCGGUACGUACUGGUAUUGUUGGUUUCUCCCUUCUGACGAACCACGAUGUCAUUUAUUUGGUGUUGUGGGGAAUCAGGACUGUUACUUUGAAAAAAUUAGAGUGUUUAAAGCAGGCUCACGCUUGAAUACAUUAGCAUGGAAUAAUGAAAUAGGACGUUUGAUUCUAUUUUGUUGGUUUCUAGGAUCGACGUAAUGAUUAAUAGGGAUAGUUGGGGGCAUUAGUAUUCAAUUGUCAGAGGUGAAACUCUUGGAUUUAUUGAAGACUAACUACUGCGAAAGCAUUUGCCAAGGAUGUUUUCAUUAAUCAAGAACGAAAGUUAGGGGAUCGAAGACGAUCAGAUACCGUCGUAGUCUUAACCAUAAACUAUGCCGACUAGGGAUCGGAUGAUGUUAAUUUUUUAAUGACUCAUUCGGCGCCUUACGGGAAAC